AUUAAACGCUGGCGGCAUGCCUUACACAUGCAAGUCGAACGGCAGCACGGGAGCAAUCCUGGUGGCGAGUGGCGAACGGGUGAGUAAUAUAUCGGAACGUGCCCAGUCGUGGGGGAUAACGCAGCGAAAGCUGUGCUAAUACCGCAUACGAUCUAUGGAUGAAAGCGGGGGACCGUAAGGCCUCGCGCGAUUGGAGCGGCCGAUAUCAGAUUAGCUAGUUGGUGGGGUAAAGGCCCACCAAGGCGACGAUCUGUAGCUGGUCUGAGAGGACGACCAGCCACACUGGAACUGGGACACGGUCCAGACUCCUACGGGAGGCAGCAGUGGGGAAUUUUGGACAAUGGGCGCAAGCCUGAUCCAGCAAUGCCGCGUGCAGGAUGAAGGCCUUCGGGUUGUAAACUGCUUUUGUACGGAACGAAACGGUCUCUAUUAAUACUGGGGGCUAAUGACGGUACCGUAAUAAUAAGCACCGGCUAACUACGUGCCAGCCGCCGCCGUAA
rnacentral:rRNA from 1 species